GACCAGACUCCUACGGGAGGCAGCAGUGAGGAAUAUUGGUCAAUGGGCGCGAGCCUGAACCAGCCAAGUCGCGUGAGGGAUGACGGCCCUACGGGUUGUAAACCUCUUUUGUCGGGGAGCAAAUUCCGCCACGUGUGGCGGAGUCGAGAGUACCCGAAGAAAAAGCAUCGGCUAACUCCGUGCCAGCAGCCGCGGUAAUACGGAGGAUGCGAGCGUUAUCCGGAUUUAUUGGGUUUAAAGGGUGCGUAGGCGGAAUAUCAAGUCAGCGGUAAAAAUUCGGGGCUCAACCCCGUCGUGCCGUUGAAACUGAUGUUCUUGAGUGGGCGAGAAGUAUGCGGAAUGCGUGGUGUAGCGGUGAAAUGCAUAGAUAUCACGCAGAACUCCGAUUGCGAAGGCA
rnacentral:rRNA from 1 species